GACGAACGCUGGCGGCGUGCUUAACACAUGCAAGUCGAACGGAAGGGCCCUGCUUUUGUGGGGUGCUCGAGUGGCGAACGGGUGAGUAACACGUGAGUAACCUGCCCUUGACUUUGGGAUAACUUCAGGAAACUGGGGCUAAUACCGGAUAGGAGCUCCUGCUGCAUGGUGGGGGUUGGAAAGUUUCGGCGGUUGGGGAUGGACUCGCGGCUUAUCAGCUUGUUGGUGGGGUAGUGGCUUACCAAGGCUUUGACGGGUAGCCGGCCUGAGAGGGUGACCGGCCACAUUGGGACUGAGAUACGGCCCAGACUCCUACGGGAGGCAGCAGUGGUGAAUAUUGCACAAUGGGCGGAAGCCUGAUGCAGCAACGCCGCGUGCGGGAUGACGGCCUUCGGGUUGUAAACCGCUUUCGCCUGUGACGAAGCGUGAGUGACGGUAAUGGGUAAAGAAGCACCGGCUAACUACGUG
rnacentral:rRNA from 1 species